rnacentral:rRNA from 1 species
UACGAAGGGGGCUAGCGUUGCUCGGAAUUACUGGGCGUAAAGGGUGCGUAGGCGGCGCGGUAAGUCGGGUGUGAAAUCUCGGAGCUUAACUCCGAAACUGCAUUCGAUACUGCCGUGCUUGAGGACUGGAGAGGAGACUGGAAUUUACGGUGUAGCGGUGAAAUGCGUAGAUAUCGUAAGGAAGACCAGUGGCGAAGGCGGUUCUCUGGGCCUUACCUGACGCUGAGGAGCGAAAGCAUGGGGAGCGAACAGG